GGAAGUGAUGGGAAAGAGACAAUCGGAGAUUUGCUGGCCUGCCCCAACAGGAAGAUGAAAACAGGCUUCUAAGGUUGUCCUCCUUCGCUUUCUGCAUCAAGUUGAUUUUCUCAGUGCCAUCUGCACACUAAACUGAUGUACCAAAAGAUCAGAUCAGCACUGUCUAAUCCUUGUAAGUGAUUCAACAAACAUCUUUCUGCAAAGGAGU
rnacentral:lncRNA from 1 species